GAUGAACGCUGACAGAAUGCUUAACACAUGCAAGUCAACUUGAACUUCGGUUUGGGUGGCGGACGGGUGAGUAACGCGUAAAGAACUUGCCUCACAGCUAGGGACAACAUUUGGAAACGAAUGCUAAUACCUGAUAUUAUGAUUUUAGGGCAUCCUAGAAUUAUGAAAGCUAUAUGCGCUGUGAGAGAGCUUUGCGUCCCACUAGCUAGUUGGAGAGGUAACGGCUCACCAAGGCGAUGAUGGGUAGCCGGCCUGAGAGGGUGAACGGCCACAAGGGGACUGAGACACGGCCCUUACUCCUACGGGAGGCAGCAGUGGGGAAUAUUGGACAAUGGACCAAGAGUCUGAUCCAGCAAUUCUGUGUGCACGAUGAAGUUUUUCGGAAUGUAAAGUGCUUUCAGUUGGGAAGAAAAAAAUGACGGUACCAACAGAAGAAGUGACGGCUAAAUACGUG
rnacentral:rRNA from 1 species